GUGUUUGCUCAAGAAACCCCUUGUGUGCGAUCAAGGUAGGUUGGCGUUUGAUCCAAUCGAACCACCUUGCGGUGUGAAGCCUGGGUGUUAUUUUCUGUUGUUCUUAUUAUUCUAUUAUUUUCUUCACCCAUUAACAAGUAAGUAUUCUUCUAUUUUCCUG